rnacentral:rRNA from 1 species
GAACGCUGGCGGCGUGCCUAAUACAUGCAAGUAGAACGCUGAAGAGAGGAGCUUGCUCUUCUUGGAUGAGUUGCGAACGGGUGAGUAACGCGUAGGUAACCUGCCUUGUAGCGGGGGAUAACUAUUAGAAACGAUAGCUAAUACCGCAUAACAAUGGGUGACACAUGUCAUUUAUUUGAAAGGGGCAAUUGCUCCACUACAAGAUGGACCUGCGUUGUAUUAGCUAGUAGGUGAGGUAACGGCUCACCUAGGCGACGAUACAUAGCGGACCUGAGAGGGUGAUCGGCCACACUGGGACUGAGACACGGCCCAGACUCCUACGGGAGGCAGCAGUAGGGAAUCUUCGGCAAUGGGGGCAACCCUGACCGAGCAACGCCGCGUGAGUGAAGAAGGUUUUCGGAUCGUAAAGCUCUGUUGUAAGUCAAGAACGAGUGUGAGAGUGGAAAGUUCACACUGUGACGGUAGCUUACCAGAAAGGGACGGCUAACUACGUGCCAGCAGCCGCGGUAAUACGUAGGUCCCGAGCGUUGUCCGGAUUUAUUGGGCGUAAAGCGAGCGCAGGCGGUUUGAUAAGUCUGAAGUUAAAGGCUGUGGCUCAACCAUAGUUCGCUUUGGAAACUGUCAAACUUGAGUGCAGAAGGGGAGAGUGGAAUUCCAUGUGUAGCGGUGAAAUGCGUAGAUAUAUGGAGGAACACCGGUGGCGAAAGCGGCUCUCUGGUCUGUAACUGACGCUGAGGCUCGAAAGCGUGGGGAGCGAACAGGAUUAGAUACCCUGGUAGUCCACGCCGUAAACGAUGAGUGCUAGGUGUUGGAUCCUUUCCGGGAUUCAGUGCCGCAGCUAACG